ACAGAGGUCCCGAGCGUUGUUCGGAUUCACUGGGCGUAAAGGGUGCGUAGGUGGCAUGGUAAGUUUGAUGUGAAAGCUCAGGGCUUAACCCUGAAAUGGCAUUGAAUACUACUGUGCUGGAGGUUUGGAGGGGGGACUGGAAUUCUCGGUGUAGCAGUGAAAUGCGUAGAUAUCGAGAGGAACACCAGUGGCGAAGGCGGGUUGCUGGGCUGACACUGACGCUGAACUGCGAAAGCUAGGGGAGCGAACGGGA
rnacentral:rRNA from 1 species